CGUAAGGAGUCUCUCGUUGGGUCUGCUUUCUCUUCAUGGCGUAUAGUCACUGUUGUUCGAGUCUCCUGUACGAGACGGCGACCCUCUUGGGGGGAGGCCGAUUGAGAAGAAAGUAAUCGAACACGAUGAAUAGGGAA
ensembl:ncRNA C16C2.10 ncRNA